UACGGAGGGGGUUAGCGUUGUUCGGAAUUACUGGGCGUAAAGCGCACGUAGGCGGACUAUUAAGUCGAGGGUGAAAUCCCGGGGCUCAACCCCGGAACUGCCUUCGAUACUGGUAGUCUUGAGUUCGAGAGAGGUGAGUGGAAUUCCGAGUGUAGAGGUGAAAAUUCGUAGAUAUUCGGAGGAACACCAGUGGCGAAGGCGGCUCACUGGCCUGGUAUCACGCUGAGGUGCGAAAGCGUGGGGAGCAAACAGGAUUAGAUACCCCCGGUAGUCC
rnacentral:rRNA from 1 species